CAUCCUUCCUUGGAAACCAUCUCCUGAAACUUGACUUGACUCCAAAGCAUUUGGAGGCAUCUGAGGGCUGCUGUCUCGUCAGUCCAGUGCUCUCCUUGGCUAUUUGCUCUGGGGGUGGCUGUGCACGAGGUGCCCCUUCUGCACCCCAAGCUGGUGCUAGGACUGGCCAGGCCUACUCGGCACGUCUGAGGGGGCAGGGCCCUGCCCCCAGGUCUCCCAGGCACAGCUAGGGCCCACAGACCCCAUUUUUGACCUUUCGAGCUUGUACACUAAAGCUCCCUCUGCGUGCUUCCUCUGUGCCUGGCACUGUGCUGGGCGUCCUCCGGUGGUGUCAUGCACACUGUAUCCCGGGAGAUGGGUGGUGUCCAGUCGUCCCCAUUUUACAGCUAAGUAAACAGCCUGGGACAUUAAGUGUUAUAAAGAGCAGAGCCAGGACUUGGAGCCAAGGUUUCCAAGGCCAACGUUGGGUGCUGUUUCCAUACCCCACCCUGGGCAAGACCAGAGAUGACUCAGCUGAGAACUCUGCCCUCAGGAGGAGAUGGAGCCAGAGAUCUGAUAACUGACCACUGCAGCCCAGGGGACGGGCCAGAAGGGCUCUGAGAGCACUGCCCUUCCAGGCUGGUCCCCUGCUGGCUCCUUGGAUCCCUGCCCACUCAUGGGACCUCCCUCACAAAGCCAACACCUGUCUGCAAAGUGCUGUAUACCUGCUCACUUCAUGGAAACAUCUCUCAACCAGUGGUCAUUUUAGAGAAGGAAGGCAGUGGUUUAGAAAAACACAUGUUUUAAAGCAGUGUUAGCCUUUUUUCCCCCCAAAGGCUAUUAUUUUUUCAGAACAGCUUUAGGUCACAGCAAAAUUAAUAGGAAGGUACAGAAAUUUCCCAUAUGCCCCUUGCCCCUACACAUGCAUAGCAGCCCCUAUUAUCUCCAUCCCCCACCAGACCGGUGCAUUUGUUACAGUUGGUGAGUCUAUGUGGUAGCCUUUUUUCCCAAACAGAAUUUCAUCUGAACAUGCUUAAAAUUGCAAACAGAUACAAGGGGAAUUAUUCUGUGUGGAGAGUGUGGGGGAACCUGUCAGCCCUCCUGUUUCUGACCCCUCCUACCACCCACUCAGAUUCUGCAGAGCCAGAUGUAGUUUAUGACCCCUACUCUGAGGUGGCGAGAGUUAAUGCUACUCUUUGUUAAUGAGCUCCUCUCUGGGUCUGUGCCUCUAGAGCAUAAGUUCCAUGCGGCAUGUUUUUUUUUAAAAAAAAAUUACGGUAAAAUAUACAUAACAUAAAAUUUACCAUUUUAACCAUUUUUAAGUGUACAAUUCAGUGGCAUUAAGUAUAUUCCCAUUGUUGUGUAACUAUCACCACCAUCCAUUUCCAGAAAUUUUCUUUUUUUUUCCAAGAUUUUAUUUUUUUUCCUUUUUCUCCCCAAAGCCCCCCAGUACGUAGUUGUAUAUUCUUUGUUGUGGGUCCUUCCAGUUGUGGCAUGUGGGACACCGCCUCAGCGUGGUUUGAUGAGCAGUGUCAUGUCCGCGCCCAGGAUUCGAACCAACGAAACACUGGGCCGCCUGCAGCGGAGUGCGAGAACUUAACCACUCGGCCACAGGGCCAGCCCCUCCAGAACUUUUUCAUCAUCUCAAACUGAAUCUCUAUACCCGUUAAAAAAUAACUCCCUGGGGGCUGGCCCCGUGGUCGAGUGGUUAAGUUCGCGCACUCUGUACCGGGGGGCUUUGGGGAGAAAAAGGAAAAAAAUAAAAUCUUUAAAAAAAAAAAAAAUAACUCCCCAUCCUCCCUCUCCCCAGAUCGUGGCAACCACCAUUCUACUCUCUCUCUAUGAAUUUGCCUAUUCUACAUACCUCACAAGUGGAAUCGUACAGUAUUUAUCUCUUUGUGCUUGGCUUAAUUCACUUAGCAUAAUGUCUUCAAGGUUCAUCCAGGUGGUAGCAUGUCUCAGAAUUUCCUUCCUUUUUGAGGUUGAAUAAUAUUCCAUUGUAUAUACCACAUUUCUUUAUCCAUUUGUCUGUGGAUGGACAUUUGGGUUGCUUCCACCUUUUGGCUCUUGUGAACAAUGCUACUAUGAGCAUUAAUGUACAAAUACCUGUUUGAGUCACUGCUUGCAUUGCUUUGGGAUAUAUGGCCAGAAGUGGAAUUGCUGGAUCAUAUGAUAAUUCUAUGUUUAACUUUUUGAGGAAGUAUCACGCCAUUUCCUACAAAGGAUGCACCAUUUACAUUCCCACCAACAAUUCACAAAGGUUCUAAUUUCUCCACAUCCUUGUCUUCAUAGCAGGGGUUUUUAUCUCUUGCUCAUGGCUAUAUUUGCAGAGACUAGGACAGUGCCCAGCACAUAUUAGGUACUCAAUAAAUGUUUGUUGGGUUGAAUGAAUGGGAGGCCUUGGUCUCUGGGCAGCUGUAGCAGGGAGUCCUCCUGCCUGUCACCCAAUCCACAGAACCUUCCUCUUCUAGUCCCUGCUCAGCUCUAAGAGAAUCACCCUUUCGAUGGGGUAAGUUACCUUGAGGUGCCCACUGGUGUUGAGAGCUGCGUUAAAGAGAAAAUGUGGCACUGUGGAGGUCAGGGAAUCUAACAUGUUGGCUAGCAUGGGAGUGCUUUACAAACUGUGGGUGUUGACCCAUUUGUGGCUUGUGAUACCAGUUGUUAGUGGUUAAAACCAGCAUUUAUGAAAAAUGAAAUAGAAUAAAAAUACCAGGGUAUACAACACAGGAGAAAGAGUAAGUAUCACUUUGUGAAACUUUUGUUUUUAGUGUGAUAUUUAUGUACGUGUGUAAUGGGUCACAAAGAGUUUAAAAAACACUUGUAUAGCAUGUGCAGCCUCUGCUUAAAGACUUCCCCAUAGCAGGGAGCCUACUACCUUACAAGGAAGCCCAUGUUUUUUGGGGGUCCACUGUAACAUUGGAACAUUCCUCUCUUAUUGAGCAGAAACCAUUCAGCAUGUAAGAUCUUUGUUUUGAGGCCCUACUGUGUGCUAGGCUGUGUAAAAGACACUUGAGAUGAAAAAGAUCAGAGGUUGCCUCCAGGAGUUUAAUGGAGAAGAGAGGCUGGAGGACAAGAAAGGGGACAGCCUGCUGUGGGGAGGGAUGGAAGAGGAGAGACAGUGAACUCUGGCUGGGGGAGUCCAGGAAGGAUGCUGGAAUGGGUCUUGAAGGGUGAACAAGAGUUUGCUAUUCUCUACCAAGAGAAAAGCUUAUAGGAAAGUAUGGAGAUGAGAAAGAGCAGAUUAUGUUCAAAGAAUAGAAAGUAGCCUUGUCCGACUUGAGUCCAGGAUCCCUAAGGAGGUCAGGGAUGGGGGUGACCAACUAGGGGGACAUGAGGCAGGAGGGCAGGCGAAGGGCACAUUGUGUCUUUGUGCCAAGAACUUAGAUUUUUCACCCUACAGCCAGAGGGGUGUCAUUUGAAUAUUUAGGAAACAUGGGUCUGGAUGUGCGCUGGGGUCUGGGGAAUUAGGGUGAAUGAAACAAAGACCUCGCCUGAGAAGCUGGCACUCCAGCAUGGGGAGCAGACACGAAAUACGGGGUCACGCAAGAGACACAUGGCUAUAGAAAGUGGCAUGAACGGCGUGAAGGGAAACAACAGGGUCCUGAGAGAGCUGGUGAGGGGGGACCCGGUUUCGACCAGGAGGGAAGGCUUCUGUGAGGAAAGGAUAGUAAGUUGCAGCCUGCAGGCAACGAGCCUUCCCGGCAGAGGAGGCAGCAUGGACAAAGGCCAGGAGAGGGGUAGGGCCGGCCUAGAGUAAGAAUUUGGGAUCGUGUCCCAUGGGCAGUGAGGAGCCACUGGAGAGUUUUAAGCAAGUGUGUGUGUGAGUGAUGAUUUAUUUUUACAUGAAAGGAAAAGUAUAUCCAGGGCAAAGAUAAGAGUCAGGAGGCCGAGAGGAACAGGAAGGAAGGGAAGCUGUGAGGGGCCUUGGAAAGCCCACCUUUGUUUCCUGUGGAUCCUGGAAUUUGGCUUUUUGGCCCUGGAGGUGGGGGAUAGGAGAAGAGACAGGAGAUGCACAUAUGACAGGGGA
ensembl:lncRNA